rnacentral:lncRNA from 1 species
GAUGUUGGUGACAGUUGGUCCACUGUAGGAGUGCGAUGCAUAUCAAGAUAGGAUCUAUCGAUCUUGAUAGAGAGUAGUCCUAUGAAAUUUGAAAGGCUAAGUCCAAGAAUCUGUGGCCACAGCAGUGUGAUUGAUGGAAAAGAGUUUUCAUAAAAGUCACAACUGGACUUGAGCUAAUCAAAUCUAUCAUAUGACUGAUGAUG